GUGCCAGCAGCCGCGGUAAUACGUAGGUGGCAAGCGUUAUCCGGAAUUACUGGGCGUAAAGCGCACGCAGGCGGCGCAGCAAGUUCGACGUGAAAGCUCCCGGCUCAACUGGGAGAGGUCGUUGAAGACUGCUGUGCUUGAGGCAAUGAGAGGGGUGUAGAAUUCCCGGUGUAGUGGUGGAAUGCGUAGAUAUCGGGGGGAAUACCAGUGGCGAAAGCGGCACCCUAGCAUUAGCCUGACGCUCAUGUGCGAAAGCGUGGGGAGCGAACGGGAUUAGAUACCCCCGUAGUCC
rnacentral:rRNA from 1 species